rnacentral:ncRNA from 1 species
CCAAAGGCUCUUUUCAGAGCCAUCCACAUUUGCAUUUAAAGAGCUU